rnacentral:rRNA from 1 species
GUGGGGAAUCUUGCGCAAUGGGCGAAAGCCUGACGCAGCCAUGCCGCGUGAAUGAUGAAGGUCUUAGGAUUGUAAAAUUCUUUCACCGGGGACGAUAAUGACGGUACCCGGAGAAGAAGCUCCGGCUAACUUCGUGCCAGCAGCCGCGGUAAUACGAAGGGGGCUAGCGUUGCUCGGAAUUACUGGGCGUAAAGGGCGCGUAGGCGGACAGUUUAGUCAGAGGUGAAAGCCCAGGGCUCAACCUUGGAAUUGCCUUUGAUACUGGCUGUCUUGAGUACGGGAGAGGUGAGUGGAACUCCGAGUGUAGAGGUGAAAUUCGUAGAUAUUCGGAAGAACACCAGUGGCGAAGGCGACUCACUGGCCCGUUACUGACGCUGAGGCGCGAAAGCGUGGGGAGCAAACAGGAUUAGAAACCCCAGUAGUCC